ensembl:lncRNA
AAGACUGGCGCUCUCAAUGAAUCUUUGCCACAACGUCUGCUAACCUCCUUUUCUCUGGAUCAUCUACUCACCUUCACAGUUUAGUCACGCUUUUCCUGGACGCUGGUCAUCUCUAUUCAUUUACAGUCACGUCCUACGCUAACUCUGUUCCUUGUCCUCGGUUGCCUGUCUCCCUGCCUUCUCCUCACGGUCCAUCACUGGACCACUGUUCUUGGACCCACAGCUCGUUGAUACUCACCCGGACCGCCUCGACUACUUCCCCCCACGCCACUCUUUGCCCACCAACAAAAUUCAUUUCCAAAUAUGAAGUGUGUUCAUCAAUCUCUAUAUCAGAAUGGACCCCCCCCCCCCAAGCUCCAGUGCCUCCACCACAGAACCACCCACUCCUUCAACAUCGGCAUCGUCUGGCACGACACAGCAUCAUAUAACUGGUCAAGGCCUACUGUAUGCUGCAGCCUAAAGGCAGAGUUGGGUUGCUGAGGCCUGAGUGAUUGCCGGCCUUCUACUUACAGGGUGGUGGGUCUUGGAGGACAACUGCUGAUCACCAUUAAAGUAGUUGACAUGAUGAUGCCACAACUGACUUGUGGAAUCGCUGGCUCUGGCCUUGGACUGUGUGUUUUAUCCCUUUAACAAGUGGGAGACGGGAC